rnacentral:rRNA from 1 species
GAUGAACGCUGGCGGCGUGCCUAAUACAUGCAAGUCGAGCGAACAGACGAGGAGCUUGCUCCUCUGACGUUAGCGGCGGACGGGUGAGUAACACGUGGAUAACCUACCUAUAAGACUGGGAUAACUUCGGGAAACCGGAGCUAAUACCGGAUAAUAUAUUGAACCGCAUGGUUCAAUAGUGAAAGACGGUUUUGCUGUCACUUAUAGAUGGAUCCGCGCCGCAUUAGCUAGUUGGUAAGGUAACGGCUUACCAAGGCGACGAUGCGUAGCCGACCUGAGAGGGUGAGCGGCCACACUGGAACUGAGACACGGUCCAGACUCCUACGGGAGGCAGCAGUAGGGAAUCUUCCGCAAUGGGCGAAAGCCUGACGGAGCAACGCCGCGUGAGUGAUGAAGGUCUUCGGAUCGUAAAACUCUGUUAUUAGGGAAGAACAAAUGUGUAAGUAACUAUGCACGUCUUGACGGUACCUAAUCAGAAAGCCACGGCUAAUUACGUG